UAGCUGCAUCUUCAAAACCUCUGUUACUCAGGGGUGGUCGAAAACCAUUGGGAUUUUUAUCUUUAAUUUGCAAAAAAAGCAGUUCCGAAUCUGCAGAGGAUACCAAGGGGAACAGAGGGAAGGUCCAGAAGCCUCGGAUAGUGACCCCAAAGCGAGGUCUAA